rnacentral:rRNA from 1 species
ACGGGUGAGUAAUGCCUAGGAAUCUGCCUGGUAGUGGGGGACAACGUUUCGAAAGGAACGCUAAUACCGCAUACGUCCUACGGGAGAAAGCAGGGGACCUUCGGGCCUUGCGCUAUCAGAUGAGCCUAGGUCGGAUUAGCUAGUUGGUGAGGUAAUGGCUCACCAAGGCGACGAUCCGUAACUGGUCUGAGAGGAUGAUCAGUCACACUGGAACUGAGACACGGUCCAGACUCCUACGGGAGGCAGCAGUGGGGAAUAUUGGACAAUGGGCGAAAGCCUGAUCCAGCCAUGCCGCGUGUGUGAAGAAGGUCUUCGGAUUGUAAAGCACUUUAAGUUGGGAGGAAGGGUUGUAGAUUAAUACUCUGCAAUUUUGACGUUACCGACAGAAUAAGCACCGGCUAACUCUGUGCCAGCAGCCGCGGUAAUACAGAGGGUGCAAGCGUUAAUCGGAAUUACUGGGCGUAAAGCGCGCGUAGGUGGUUUGUUAAGUUGGAUGUGAAAUCCCCGGGCUCAACCUGGGAACUGCAUCCAAAACUGGCAAGCUAGAGUAUGGUAGAGGGUGGUGGAAUUUCCUGUGUAGCGGUGAA